GUGGUUUAAUUCGAAGCAACGCGCAGAACCUUACCAACCCUUGACAUCCCUGUCGCGGUUACCGGAGACGGUUUCCUUCAGUUCGGCUGGACAGGUGACAGGUGCUGCAUGGCUGUCGUCAGCUCGUGUCGUGAGAUGUUCGGUUAAGUCCGGCAACGAGCGCAACCCACAUCUUUAGUUGCCAGCAGGUUAAGCUGGGCACUCUAGGGGGACUGCCUGUGUUAAGCAGGAGGAAGGUGUGGAUGACGUCA
rnacentral:rRNA from 1 species